rnacentral:lncRNA from 1 species
UUUUUGUAUAUUAUAUAUUUAUAUAUUUAAAUGCAUAUUUACAUGAAAUUAAUUUUUACAUUUUAAGAUAUAUGUCUAAUGUAGUAUUUCUAUUUUUUUAUUUUUUCAUUUACAUUUUAAGAUAGAUGUUUAAUGCUUAACGUACCUUUUCCAUUUCUUAUAUUUUGUAUUUGCUUAUCAAUAUUAUUUUUGUCUAUUAUAUAUUUACAUAAUAUCUAUAUUUUACAUUUUAAGUUAAAUGUUUAAAGCUUAAUGUACAUUUUUUAAUUUUGUAUUUACAUUUUAAGAUAAAUGUUUAAUGCUUAAUGUACUUUUUAUAUUUUUUAUAUUAUGUAUUUACUUAUUCAUAUUAUUUUUUAUAUUAUAUAUUUUUUAAAUUGUGUAUUUACUUAUUAUUGUGUAUAUAAUUCGUAUAUUAUAUAUUUAUGCAUUCAAAGGUAUAUUUACUUAUAUUUUCGUAUGUGCUUACUUAUUAUUACCUUUUGUAUAUUAUAUAUUGACAUAUUUAAAUGUAUAUUUACAUGUAUUUAAUUUUUAAAUUGUAAGAUAGAUAUCUAAUGUAAUAUUUUCAUUCUUUAUUUUUUCAUUUACAUUUUAAGAUAGAUGUUUAGUGCUUAAUGUAGUUUUUUCAUUUUUUAUAUUUUGUAUUUACUUAUUAAUAUUAUUUUAGUAUAUUAUAUGUUUACUUAAUAUCAAUAUUUUACAUUUUAAGACAGAUUUUUAAGGUUUAAUGUACUUUUUCUAUUUUAUUUUAAAUUGUGCAUUUACAUGUUAAGAUAAAUUUUUAAUGCUUAAUAUAUUUUUUAUAUUUUUUAUUAUGUAUUUACUUAUUAAUAUUAUUUUGGUAUAUUAUAUAUAUUUUUAAUUGUGUAUUUACUUAUUAUUGUAUAUGUAAUUUGUAUAUUGUAUAUAUACAUAUUUAAAUGUAUAUUUACUUAGAUUUUCGUAUGAUUUAAUGUAUAUAUGGUAAUAAUGUGUAGUAUGAUAAUAUGAUUUAAUGUAAUAAGAUAAUAAUAGUAGUCAUGCCAGGUGGCUUUUUUCGAAGAGGGUUUCUAAAACGAUGUGGACAUUCCGUGGAGCCUCGAUUAGUCUUUUUUUUAUUUUUACUAGGGAUUAACCCGGGCUUGCCUGGGAUUUUUAUUUUUUUCUAAUUUAAGUUGUUAAAUUAUUUAUAUUUAGGUUAUGUUAAAUAUUUAUAUAAAUGUUAAGAUGCAUUCCAUAAUUAAAAUUUAUUUUUAUAUGCUAAACCAACUUAAAUUAUAUUUACAAUAGCACCAUCCUAAACCGGUUAAUAAACCAAAAAUAAUACUAAACUAACAUGAACCAAUACCUGAUUCGGUGAGGAAAGAAAUGUUUCGGGAUAAACGCUUGAAUGGUUAUUACCUGUAAUAGUUUG